UAAACCAUCAACGUAUUAACUAAACAAACCAAUUCAAGUCCAUGUAACUAUUUGCGCAUUACAUUGAACUGAGAAUAGUCAACAUCUUUCUUGUAAGAGCUUUCCUAGACUAAAGGUUGACAAAACAAUAAGCCUUGAAAAUUCAACUACCUUUUUAUCUAGUAUUCUAGUAGAAUAACAGUUUUAUCUGAAUGUUUCUGGAAUCGAGCUACUAGUAAUUAUGUCUUGUUAAUUAUUGCUGUAAACUCGACCAACAUGGGAUGCAACACACAAUCAUUAACUUUUUUAUGCUAAAAUGAUGCAUAUAAUGAUGCCGAUGAAUGGAAGGAAUUUUUGUUACUUAUUGUUAUUAUAUUUUUUAACUCAUUAAGUAAGGCUUCUCAAUUCAGUUAUCCCAAGAAUUAAUGCCUUCAUUUCCAUUUCAACUUGCGGAAGCCCUCAUUGCUAUUAACUUUUAACCAUUAAAUGCAAGAAAUUUGUAUUUAUUAUUGAACAAUGGAAGUAUGAUUUAUUGAAAAUGAUAAGGAUUCCAUUUGUUUAUUAUAAGA